ensembl:lncRNA
GGAACUUUGUUUUUUGAUUAAGAGCAAAUAUCGAGGGUGUUUUGCUUAAAUAUUACGCUUUAUAACAAAAAAAGCAUGAUUUUAUAUUAAAAUGUAUAAUUUGUGGUGCACUGUAUUGCGUUUAUCAUAAAUAUCGCACACUUCACUUUGUAACAGCCACCUUUUUGGAAUUUGAGGUCUCGCCCAAAAAUGGCUGUGGAGAAACAGUUACGAAGAUGUGUCGAUCUACUCACCUAAUUAAUGUGGCGCAUGCUCCAAAUUAAUCAAGAGUCCUCUGAUCGAGCCGGAGGACGUUUCUGUAAGUCAUCAUCCGUCCCCGUCUCUCAUUCCUUCCCCUUGUCCACCUGAGGAGGUGACUGUAGAGUGACUCACUUGUUCCAAGUGUGGUUUUGUGGUGGAGUGAGUACUGUCUCAAACCUUUCCUAACUUCAGAAGACUUAAACCAAAACCACACGUAAAUCGUUACUGCCACAAACCUACAAACUCAUACACACACGGCAUGGGGUUAUGAAACCUGUAUCUGCGAGGAUAGAACAAGCUGAAGAGAUUUAAAUAGAGGAAAUAACAUGGUCUGUAAGGUUCCAUGAAGAUCCUUAAGUGGCAUUUAGUCUUAAUGCUUGUCUUGUUUCUUGCCUUGAACUUGCUAUGUUCUUUACAUGUUAACUUCUUAAUUCUUAACUAC